GCCAGGCACAAAAAGAUCAAAUAUUGUUUGAUUCCACAGAUAUAAGCUGUCCAGAAUAGGCAAAUCCUAAGAAACAGAAAGUGGAUGAGUGAUUGCCAGAGCCUGGCAGGGGCCAAAAGAAAUGGUCAAGGCAGAAGGCCAGAAAAGAACACAGAUAACCAGAACCAGAAGAGCACAAAGGCCAUUGAGAAGAAGGGGCUAAUAAAAUAUUAAAUUCCUCAAGUAAUGCUACCCACACAGGAAUAUGAUGCUUCAGAUGUGAACGACAGAGGACCUGAAAUCCUUGAGCCCUUUAAAGAGAUCACUGUGCUCUGAUGCAUGUGUGUGGAGGUCUACGAACACCUAUAAUAGGUGAUACCUGCGAGGUCACACAAUUCUGUAUCAGAAGCACUUGUCAAAGCUUCUUCUAAUUCUGGAUCAAGAGACACUUUUUCUUCUGUAAAAGUCUGUACAGGUUUCUGUUUGGGGAUAAAUAUUUUCCCUGUAAAAUAAAGCAUUUUGUUAAUUCCA
rnacentral:lncRNA from 10 species